UAGUGGCGGACGGGUGAGUAACGCGUGAGAAUCUGCCCUCAGGAGGGGGAUAACGGCUGGAAACGGCCGCUAAUACCCCAUAUGCCGAGAGGUGAAAUGAAUUUCGCCUGAGGAUGAGCUCGCGUCUGAUUAGCUAGUUGGUGUGGUAAAGGCUCACCAAGGCUUCGAUCAGUAGCUGGUCUGAGAGGAUGAUCAGCCACACUGGGACUGAGACACGGCCCAGACUCCUACGGGAGGCAGCAGUGGGGAAUUUUCCGCAAUGGGCGCAAGCCUGACGGAGCAACGCCGCGUGAGGGAUGAAGGCCUCUGGGCUGUAAACCUCUUUUAUCAAGGAAGAAGGUCUGACGGUACUUGAUGAAUAAGCCACGGCUAA
rnacentral:rRNA from 1 species